AACGAACGCUGGCGGCAGGCCUAACACAUGCAAGUCGAACGCGUGUAGCAAUACACGAGUGGCAGACGGGUGAGUAACGCGUGGGAACAUACCCUUUGCUACGGAACAGUCCCGGGAAACUGGGUUUAAUACCGUAUACGCCCUUCGGGGGAAAGAUUUAUCGGCAAAGGAUUGGCCCGCGUUGGAUUAGGUAGUUGGUGGGGUAAAGGCCUACCAAGCCGACGAUCCAUAGCUGGUUUGAGAGGAUGAUCAGCCACACUGGGACUGAGACACGGCCCAGACUCCUACGGGAGGCAGCAGUGGGGAAUCUUAGACAAUGGGGGCAACCCUGAUCUAGCCAUGCCGCGUGAGUGAUGAAGGCCUUAGGGUUGUAAAGCUCUUUCAGCUGGGAAGAUAAUGACGGUACCAGCAGAAGAAGCCCCGGCUAACUCCGUGCCAGCCGCCGCGGUAAGAC
rnacentral:rRNA from 1 species